rnacentral:rRNA from 1 species
UACGUAGGGGGCAAGCGUUGUCCGGAAUCAUUGGGCGUAAAGAGCGUGUAGGCGGUUCGGUAAGUCGGCUGUGAAAGUCCAGGGCUCAACCCUGGGAUGCCGGUCGAUACUGCCGGACUAGAGUUCGGAAGAGGCGAGUGGAAUUCCCGGUGUAGCGGUGAAAUGCGCAGAUAUCGGGAGGAACACCUAUGGCGAAGGCAGCUCGCUGGGACGUUACUGACGCUGAGACACGAAAGCGUGGGGAGCAAACAGG